CCGUCGGGUCACUUGCACCAGCAGUGUGCAAGUCACGUGUGCUAACAGACGUUGCUGGUCGUUGGUUAGUGAACAAUAGUCAAACGCAGACCAAAAAAAAUCGUAGUGCAGUAAAAGCCAAAUUUACCACAAGCCAAAUUUCUCUCUGGGCGCUGGGCAUCUCGACCGUCUUCCUCACUUUCUCUCAAAACCCAGAACGACUCUGCUGCGUUUCCAUUUUUGGCGGGUCCUCUUCACAAAUCACAAUUGGUUCCACUCAAAUUGAAUAUGUGGGUUUCGGAUUCAAUACCGAAUCCGGAGUUCUUCUUAGCAUUCACCCCACGGAGCUCAAAUUCCCUUGCAAUGGAUAAAGUUUAAACGAUGUAUUCAUGCUACCUGAAGGACAACUUAAAAAGAUUGGAGAUAGAGGUUGAUAAAUAUGCAGAGGACUUGUGCAGGGAAAGGAGAAGACUGCUGGAGAUUAAAAGGUGGCAGUUUGCAUAUGUAUCUUCCCAGCGAUCUUAUUCCUUUCAAAAAUAGAUGCGAUGUCAGUUGUAUAAUAUAAUAAAGUGAACUCAUGCUAAGGGUUUAAGAUAUGUAACCAGCCAAUCAAGAUCCAAUGUGUUAAGUGUAAAAGUUGCAAUUCUGAGUAUUUUGGCUUUCAAGGAGAGUUACAGAAAAUGGGAUUCUGAUGUUGUAUUCUGUGUGAAAUUUAAGUUCUAGUCAUUGAUAGAGUUCUUGUAAACUCCA